UAAAUUUAGAUGUACAAAUUCCCAACUGUUGAUAUGACAUAAACACAUGUGAACUAUUGUUUAGUCAAAACUGACAGGAUGAGCAACUGUAAAUACGCGUAGUGCCUUGAAAACAUCUUGGACAUUUGAUUGAGAGGGCACGAAACCAAGACUGCUUCAAGAAGUCGCCAAAUCAGAUCUAUGUGAGAGUGGUUUACACCUUCUUGGUGCGACUUGUUAUUGAAAGAAGAAUCAGAAGAGACUGAAUCUAAGAUGGAUGGCGCAGAUAUAUUCUUCAUAACAUUUGCUUUACUAAUGGUUAUGUUUUUUGCAUUUUUCUGUCUGAAAGGAAGUGCACAGACAAAAAUAUGGGAAGCGUUGAGUAUUCUGACUGACUGCCUCAAGUCUCUCUGCCACUGUUCCUGGACUUCACGACAGGUGCGAGUUUGUGUGCGGGAUACUAGGGAAACCAACAUCAUCUCUAUAGCAACGAUUGGUGAAAUUAAUCGUGGAUUUUAUGAAGUUAAUUACGCUCCGCCGUCGUAUGAAUCUGUGGUUGCGGCAGACAAAACACGUGAUCAAGGACUACCCAGUUACGAGGAUGCACUGAAAAUCAUUUGUAUUUAUGAUGUAUCUAAUGUUAGGAAUAAGCCAGAUAGCACGGAUGCGUAAAUUUCAAACCUUACAGCAACGAGCUUGAGGGUAAGAGUAAGACAAAGCACAGCCUCCCCCUCCCCCAAACAGAUCGAAUAACUUACAGGCGAUGCACAAACGGGAGACUGCAUGCAUGACUAUAGUCUAUCCCUGGUCGACGCCGACCGACGGAGGCCACACACUCUAAUUAUUGAGGUGUCCACAGCGGGUUGUCUAUUGUAACAUUAUAUAUAUUUCAUUGUCUCACAGUACUUUUGUAUUUUUCUACAUUGUAUAUUUGUCGUUGUACUUUUUAUUUAUUUAUUCCUUGUUGUAAUGUAUACCUCACGUAUUGAGAUCAGUAUUUACAUUUUUGAUUUUUAAAUACGUAAUGUUUGAAACUUUA